rnacentral:rRNA from 1 species
AUAAGUCCCCUAAAGAGCCGUUCGAGACUAGGACGUUGAUAGGUUGGGUGUGUAAGUGCUGUGAGGCAUUGAGCUAACCAAUACUAAUUGCUCGUGAGGCUUGACCAU